GGAUUGGAGAAGAGGUUGCAGAUGAUCAAGGAGCGACACGUGCAGGGAUGGCUUGAAAAGGGCAAAGAGGUGCCCGAAGCCCUGUCUUGUGUAGCCUGAGCACGCCUCGCUGAGUAUGCAGCUUGAUUUCCAGCAGUUCUGAAAACUGUGUUGAAGCUGAAAUGCUGUGUCUGUGUUUGGGUCGGGUUUGCACCUUGGUGAGUGUCGGGAUGGGUUUUAAUGCAGUGCAGCGGAGGGCCUCGCCUCAGUGUCUUGUAUUGUGUUUUGACCCGUGAGCAUAGACCUUUGGUUUUCCUAUAGCCUACUGAAGUAACUGAUUUUUCCUGCAAGUGGAAUGGAAUUGAAUUCUUCUUUGGCGCAUAAUCUGUUCUGCUCCUAGAGUUUUCUUCCUGCGUAAAUAAAAGUCUGAGCUAAA